rnacentral:pre_miRNA from 1 species
AGUGGAUAGCUGGGCCAAAUGGUAGUUUGAUUUCAAGUUUUCUGAGGAAUCUCCAUUCUGCUUUACAGAGUGAUUGCACCAAUUUGCAGUCCCACCAGCAAU